rnacentral:rRNA from 1 species
UAAGUCAGCCACGAAUAGGCUAUCCCAACUAACGGCGGGAAAGACUCCACGGAGGGUGUAAGACCCGUGUGGGCGCGUGUCAAAGCUGUGUGGGCUCGGCCUCUUUUCCCUGAGAGUCGCGUUGCUUGAGCAUGCAGCGCUAAGCAGGUCGUAAACUCGAUCUAAGGCUAAAUAUGUCCACAGAACCGAUAGCGAACAAGUACCGUGAGGGAAAGUUGAAAAGCACUCUGGAGAGAGAGUCAAAAGACCGUGAAACCGCUCAGAGUAUAAGCCCAUGGCAGCUUGGAAGGCAUAUCGCUAGCGGGGCAUCGGUCUCCCUUCGCGGGGAGCUGGUGUUACCUUGCUUCUGUUGUGGUUCGUUAUGGUAGGGGGGUCAGGUCCACAUCCCGCCGUCGUGUGGGGAGUUCUCGGGCGCGUUGUGGCUUUGCGGUUGACCUCGGUUGGCCGUGGGGUUCUUCGUGCUUGGUUCUUCUUUAGACACGGACGUUCAGACUCAGUUGCAAGACGCGAUAACCAGCCCACCACGGCACGUUGUGAGGUCACCCUCAGGCUCGACUUUCGAUUGUGGUCCUUGACGCCGAGCAAGCACUGUGCGUGUCGCAGAUGUUCCUAACCAGACAACUUUUGUCAGGAUCGUGGAACGACACGCGCUCAACAGUCAGGACCGGGCGAUGACAGAGUUCUGGUACGAUCCUCAUGCGACGAGCCGCUUUCUGGCCGAUUUCCGAUGCUCAGGUCUCCCGCAUGUGCCGCGGGAGAUCGCCUUGACGGUCUGGA